GGCUAACUCCGUGCCAGCAGCCGCGGUAAUACGGAGGGGGCUAGCGUUGUUCGGAAUUACUGGGCGUAAAGGGUGCGUAGGCGGUCCCGUAAGUUAGGUGUGAAAUCCUUGGGCUUAACCCAGGAACUGCAUUUAAAACUGCGGGACUCGAACGUGAGAGAGGGCAAUGGAAUUUUUGGUGUAGGGGUGAAAUCCGUAGAUAUCAAGAGGAACGUCAGGGGCGAAAGCGAUUGCCUGGAUCACAGUUGACGCUGAGGCACGAAAGCGUGGGAGCAAACA
rnacentral:rRNA from 1 species